rnacentral:rRNA from 1 species
CUACGGGUGGCACCAGUGAGGAAUAUUGCACAAUGGGGGGAACCCUGAUGCAGCAACGCCGCGUGGAGGAUGACGCAUUUCGGUGUGUAAACUCCUUUUAUAUGUCAAGAAAAUGACGGUAGCAUAUGAAUAAGCACCGGCUAACUCCGUGCCAGCAGCCGCGGUAAUACGGAGGGUGCAAGCGUUACUCGGAAUCACUGGGCGUAAAGGACGCGUAGACGGGCUUGUAAGUCAGGUGUGAAAUCCUACAGCUUAACUGUAGAACUGCACUUGAAACUACGAGCCUAGAGUAUGGGAGGGGGAGAUGGAAUUAGUGGUGUAGGGGUAAAAUCCGUAGAUAUCACUAGGAAUACCUAAAGCGAAGGCGAUCUCCUGGAACAUUACUGACGCUAAGGCGUGAAAGCGUGGGGAGCAAACAGGAUUAGAUACCCUAGUAGUC